ACCCACCGGCUCCCUUUAACGCUUCACAGCGCCUGGCUGGGCAAACACAAGUCUCGGGGAAGAACUGUGGACUCAGACUCUCCCAUUCAUAGAUCCACAAAUAGAGAACGAGCCUGGCUGCUCCUCAAACAAACGUCCCCUCACAUUCCCUGUCUCAGCUAUAUACAGAGGGAGACCCACAGGCCUGCAGUAUAGCUAAUCUGACCACAGAUCUUUGUCAGCAAGCAUCACUGCCAUCGCCACUUCUCUCCUCUCCUAUCCUCACCUCUUCUGUAGCAGUAAAUUGAAGAUGGCAGCUUCGUGGGCACACUAAUAGGCUCCAGAGUUGAGUGCUGGGUAAGGUGCCUCCCCCUGGCCGAACUGUUCCCAUUGCCUUCUCUCCCAAAAUCCGGUCUACUUGCUGCCAUGCAUGAAUUGUGAGCCACAGGAAAGUUAAAAAAGAGGAGUCUAAAUUAAGUGCCCUUUCAUUCCAACAUUUUCAUGGUUUGGCUAAAAACAGGGUGCAAGAUGAUUCACAUUUUAUAAGCCCUCUCUUGCGGCCGCCUGCGUCACCCUGGCGCUCGGACUCUACCGCUCAUUCACACAUCUUUCUGCCUUUCUCUCUCUCUGUCCAGUUCUUAUACAUUCUUAUAUCUUCUCUAGUGCUUAUAUACUCUUUAAUCAGGCGAAAUGGCACGGUUAGCGAAAUGCAUGAACAUGACGCAUUUUUUAAUUUUGAAUAAUAAUAUUAUCUGACAAAAAUCUCAAUUAAUAUUUUAACUCUCUCAAUAUGUAUAUUAGAUUUUUCAUUGCUUGCCAUCUCAGUGAAUAGUCUCAAUGAAUAAACCUCUCUCUGCUUUCACUGAUGUUGGAUUAUCUUUCCCUGGAGAACAUGCUGAAUGAACAAAACAGUCCAUAACACCCCAUAGCAGACGUAGCCUAAUGUUCAUGCUUUUAGCAGAACACAAACUUAGUGGUUGGAAGAAAAAGAAAUAGGAAGGGGAUAGACAUUUCUCUAAACAAGUCUGACAGCUACUACCAUUCUGACCACUGUCCAUUAUCAUUUCCGCAUCAUGGCUGCUGCUGGCCUGGCAACUGCUGCCAGAAAAAACAUUAAGGCAGAGGAACUCACAUGGGUGAAGGACACAGAUGUGCUAUACUGGACAAUGAGCUGCACCUCAAACUCAAAGCUUGUGUGUUGUGUAAUGCUGCCCUCUGUUAUUCAUGGGUAGUUUUGCAAGUAGCAUUAAAGGCACCAUGAAAUCAAAUUUGAUCAUUCUUAUUUUUUAUGGAAUAUUGCAGUAUUUAUUAUAAAUGAUUUAUCUGUGUACGUCAUUAUUAUUAUUAUUAUUUUUAAAUUCACGUGCCCUCAUAAUCUUUAAACAUAAUAACUUCUUCUCCCUCUUUUCUUUGAUGGUGUUUACUGGCGCAAGGGCAGGAUCAACCUGACACUCACAUGAGAUCACAGCAAUAGCAAACCACAACCAUCCAAUCAACUCUAAAUGGACAAAAUCAAGUCUCGCCAUACUUUUUUUUUUUUUUUUUCCAGAUAUACGUCACAAUUGGGAAGAAAACACUAUUGCAAUUUCUGUUUCAUGUCGCCUUUACAUAACAGUCAUUGGCCUGUGUGAACUGGUGUGUUGUGUGAA